rnacentral:rRNA from 1 species
CGCGUAGGCGGCUUGGCAAGUUGGGCGUGAAAGCCCUGGGCUUAACCCAGGAAUUGCGCUUGAGACUGCCGGGCUUGAGUGCGGGAGAGGUGAGUGGAAUUCCCAGUGUAGAGGUGAAAUUCGUAGAUAUUGGGAAGAACACCAGUGGCGAAGGCGGCUCACUGGCCCGCAACUGACGCUGAGGCGCGAAAGCGUGGGGAGCAAACAGGAUUAGAUACCCUGGUAGUCCACGCUGUAAACGAUGGGUGCUAGACGUCGGGGGACUUGGUCCCUGGGUGUCGCAGCUAACGCAUGAAGCACCCCGCCUGGGGAGUACGGCCGCAAGGUUAAA